AUGACAGCAUGGUUAGCAACCAGGAAGCCACACUCAAUUACAUAACAGGACUGAGGUCAGAAGAUUGAGGAACGGGAAGUAUGUCCUUUUAGGAAUUUGCUGGAUUUGAACUCAACCAGAUGUGGAUUUAAGUUUCAUCCUUUAUUAUUAGAGAUAUCUCUGUGGAUAAGGAAAUCAGACAGAGGUUGGUCGAUGGGCAAGGGUGCUUAAUCAUAACAUUAGCACAACUGUUCUGAAUAGUUGGUCAUUAUUUGGUGGAAGGAUCGUCCAAAUCCUACUCACUGCCACAGCCAUCUGAUGUUUCUGAAAGCCUGCAAACCAGUCAGCAGGGAAUGGGAUGGAUCUGAUGGCUUAACAGGGACAAGUGAUUCACAUUCCUUUCCUAUCAACUGUGGAUCUCCUAUGCUUGACUUUUUAAACAACGUAUUUACUUUAUUUUAAAAUGGCAAACGAGGAAACAAACAAAAGGGAACUGCACAGCUUGUUGUGAAUCAAGACACAGAACUUGUAAUCCUGGGACUCCUCAAAGCUCACCAAAUUCCAUUCGACCCUUCAUAAAGCUAACCUGCAGAGUGCACUCCCCGACACGUGUGAGACCAAUGAGAUGAGAUGAGAGAUGAAGCCAAAACAGCAGCACUCCCCUGUGUCUUCAAUUAGCCAUGGAGUGAAAAUGAGACAAACAGUCAUGUAUAAUUUAGAGGCUUGCUCUCUGGUUCUUCCUGCCGUGGGAAGCCUUUCACCGAGGAAGGAAGCGUGAUCUAGUAAAGUGCUCAGGCUUGGGAGUCAGCCUUGUUGGGUUGUGUUUCCAGUUAGUUCACUGAUGUACUUUGUGACCUUGUAUGCGACUUAAUUUCUAUCAAAGUGGCUGAAACAACUUGCUUUUAAAGAUGACUUGUUUGCUCAUUCUGGGGAGGGGCAAUGCCAGCAGUCCCUCAGUGUAUGUGUUAUUAAUAUGUUCAGCACAGAACAGACAGAAUGAGCAAAUGGCUUGAUCUGUGAGACAAUGUGGAUUACUGAGACUGUAGGAUAACGCAACAAGGAGUGCUGAAUGAUGUUACAAAGCACAUCCUCUGCUACCUAGAGGGUUACGUUAUGUUUUAUGAUUUCAUCAGUCAACAAAUUGAGAAACAUCAUAAGGAUGAAAAAAAAAAAACUACUUAAGUAAGUGCCAAAUAAGUCUGUAAACUUAUUUGACCAAGAAAGUAUGGGGGAGAAAAGGAUUUAUUUCUAGAGGAAGUGGGUCUUGGUCUAAUAUUAGCCUUAAGUUGAAGUGCUGAGAACUAGAUAAAGAGUUGCAAAGUUGAUGUCUGCAAGCAAAUUUCAAAAAGCAGUUGCUGGGUCUGGGAAUAGAUACUACUGAGGAAGAAAUCAUCAGAGUCCAUAGAAGAAUCCAGAAAGAAGGUGAUGCUGGUGCCUACCAAGAUUGGAAAAAUACUGACUGCAGCUGAAAGAAUACAGGUAAAGCAUGAAUCAUCCUUCCCAGACCUGCAUUUAUUUAGAGGUUGUGUGUGCACGCCAACUUCUGCCUUCCACUUAAUUCCCAUCUGGUUGAAGUGCCAAGCCACCCAUAAAAUAACUAUAGAUUGAAAGCAAAGCAAAGCAAGUGUGCAAGCACAAAGAGAAAAGUUAAUCAAAAAUAUGGAAGGGGUAAGAGUGUAGAAAUAAGGUGAAUGAAUGGAUAUCAGGAGAAGAGGAGUGCAAGAGGAAAGCAGUGCCUGGGUUUGGAAAGGAAAGCUGUGGAGAAAGGUGAUCCUCCCAGACUCUGCGCACAUCUUCUCACUGCUGCUUUUGGGGGCUGUCUUUCUUUUUUUUUUUUUUUUUUUGUCACAUGCAGCAGCCACUUGCAGCUUGUGUUUCUCUGAAACUUGGAUCAUUUUACCAGCUAUUUAAUAAGACUAAAUAAAUGGUGUCAGCAUCAGAAAGCAUAGCACAUUUUGUUUAGAGAUGUGUACAUUCCUUCUUGCUAUUAAACUGUGAUAACUUUUGGCAAGAAUAUUACUUUGCUCUGUCUUCUCUGAGAAGAAAUUUUCCUUCUGUUCUCACACGGCCAUUGAAGAAACAAAGACUACCAUAUUUAGUGGAAGACAAAAGGGCAUGCAUUUGGGAAAAUAUUGACUUAGAAAACUUUAUCCCUGAGAAAAAGAUUGUAAGGGAGUGAGCCGAUGAAAAAUCCCAUGUGAUUUACAGAAUUCAGAAACUUCUUUUUUUGCUAAUGUUAAUUUAUCACCUAAAAUUGACCCAGAACAUUAAAUCAAUCCAAUUCUAGCUAGCCACUAUGUUUUUGGAAAUUAGAGUUUAAAUCCCACUUUUGUUAAGUAGGAAAAAAAUAAUCCCAUAAAGCUCCCAGUUGGGAUCUAGUAAAAGGGCAUCCUUUUAUGAAAGAAGCUUCCCAGAGAGCAAGGAAAUAAAUGACCCCCAAAGAGGACUGAAGGCUGUUUACCAUAAAUGUGUACUAUUUUCAACAUUAGUUUAAUUAAAAAUGGAUAUAAAAAAUUAGUCUUCAGAGCCUGCAUAAGCCAGCAUUUAUCUUUAAAAAAAUUCCUGUAUGAAUUCCUGUACGAAGAUCAUCUUAAUGGCCAUCACUGCACGCGAUCAUAACUUUCAGCGUUUGCCUUCCUCUGCUUUGUCUCCUCACACUUUUACUCAUGCCUUGUUCGUAAAUUUAAACUGAAAUGAGGUCAGAGAAGGUGUCUCAUUCAUUUAUCUGUCCAUUUGUUCAUUCAUUCAUUCAACCCCUAUUUACCGAGUGGCCGGUAUGUGUCAGGGUUAGUUUUAGGACCUGGAAUACAGUGGUGAAUAAAAAUGCAGUCACUGAAUUACGUUUACAGGCUUGGGGAGGUAAGAUUGGUAAUCGAAUAAGAAAUCAUGAUGACAACUGUAUGUGCUAUGGAAUAGGUAAACUUGUGACUCUAAGGACUUAAUCUUGAAUAAUCAAGGAAGGGUUUUCAGGGAAAAUGACUGUUAAGCAGUCAUUUGCUCUACAGGUUGGCAAUAAUUAACCAACACUAAAGGGUGGGAAAAGCAGUGCCGUCCAUAGACAAGGCAUGAGUUAGAGCAAAAGUGCUGCAGCCAGGCACAGGCAAGUCCUGAGUUCAUCUGUCUCCAGUAAGCACUCAGGUCUGUGCCUUGAACGUGGCCUCCAUGCCACAUGAGUUAAAUUAAAAUAAUAAAAUUCCACCUAGAUCAAAGUGUAUGUGAAAAAACAUGAGGUCAACAUUAUCCUUCAGAUAUUUUUAAGGGCUCUAAUCACCCUUAGGUUUUUUUUUAAUGCUUAUUUCCAUAGUGCUUGUAACUCAAUAGCUUAAGAAACCAAAUCAGUGAGGGGAAAAAAAGAAAAACGACUAAAUUUUUGCUUGAAGAUGAGUUAACGUUUGUUUAACAACAAGAAUCCGAAGGACAUCAGAUGUUUCCUCAUCUGUGUUCUAUACAUGCAUGAGUUGAAAGUCGGAAUAAACAUUUUUUAAGCUCAGCAAAUUUUCCCCUCUGAGCCAGCCAGAUGGUACAGCUAAACACUAAGCUGGUGGUUAGUAAUCAGGCCCUUCUUUGAUGGUAAUCAGUUUUUACUGAUCAGUGCAAGAGUGUUUCCAAUAAUUCCCCCUUCAUUUAUGAAAUAGAGUAUGUGCUUAAUUUGCAUCAGCUAUACAUUGGAGCAAGCAUUUGCCAUUUGCUUAUAAAAAUAAAGGCUCAACAGCCAUUCCACAAACUAAAAUGGGGUUAUUUUAGCUCUAAAUUCCAGUUCAUUUUGUUUGAAGAAGAGAAUUUUCUGACUGAUAAGGAUUCUAAAAAUAUUUUUACUCUGAGGCAAUAGACACUAAGUUCAAAGUACAAAUUUGUUUUUUUAACUGACUUCGAACACCGAAAAAUAUACUCUCAAGUUGAUCUUUCCUCUACUGUUGUGAGUUUCCGUGGUAUAGAGCUGAAACUCAUUUUGCUUUACUUCUUUCAACAAAACAUGAUUUUUCUGGUGGAGCACUUGUUGCUUUUUCAUGGUGCAUUAAAUAGCAACUCUAAGUAAGUCUAAAAUACAGCUGCUUCUGCUCUGAUAAGCAGCCAAAAUUAUCUAAAAAAAAGGAGUACCUUCAUUACGGCACAUCUCUUUUCAGUCAGUAGCUUCCCAGUCCUAUAAUGCUUAGCAUACUGAUUAUUUAAAAAGAAAUAAUUAUGUCACUGAAGACUAAUGUUAAAGAAACAGUAUCAACACUAGUUCUGGGGAGCUUAGCUUAAAGCACUGCAGCAGAAGCCCAGAAUCACCACCACCGCGGGGAAAAAAAAAAUUAAGUGCAUUUUAAAGCACUGUGUUUUGUUUUUUAAUCCAUUAGGAAUGUCCACAAAACUAAAAUGAGUGGCCCAAAAUGAACUGAUUUCUUUGGCCACCAGUAACAAUUAUAUAUACUUGGUUUUAAGCUAAGCUUAAGGAGAUAGUUAAACAUAAGUGGUUUAGUUUCAUGAGAAUGAAGCCAGUCACAUGAAACACUAUUUUACAGGACUGUUUCAACAAGAUGUCCAAAAAGAGAAUUUUUUUGGUAAUAAUGCUUAUGGAGAAUAUCUUAAUAUAUUUAAUGAUAAAUAACGAUACAAAUACUUACAGUAUGUCUUUGUAUCAUUCUUCCUUUCCUUUCCCAAAUUUAAGUCCACUUAAAAUAGUUUUCCUUGGACAUAAUAUAAAACUCUAUCAAUACUCUUUUUAAAUUUUUAUUUCAAAUUCCAUUGGCAGUAUAUUAUUUUCAUUUAUUUAUUUACCUUUUAUACAAUUAUAGUAAGAACACUUAACAUAUUAUCCACCCUCCUAACAAAAUUUUAAAUGCACAAUAUAGUAUUGUUAACGAUGGGCACAAUGCUAUUCAGCAGAUCUCUAGAGCUCAUUCAUCUUUUAAUUUAACGCAGUUGAUUAACUGGACUUCUUAACAAAGGAAAAGUUUCAGACUUGAAACUUUCACAUGCAAAAUCCAUUAAUGACUGCACUAUGACUUGGUCAUAUUUCCAAGGAUUCAGGAGACAUCUGCAUAUCUCCUUCAAUUUUAUAAUUUCAUUAAAAAAGGGCAUCAUUUGAAUUCUUAAUUCUUUUGCUGAAUAACUUCUGAAAAUUUUUACAAAGUUUAUAUUUGAAUAGGAACAGAAAUCCUGGCUGAUUAAGACCUGUACAACUUAAAACAUAGCCUUUUCUCUGCACAUGACUGCAAACACCACCAAAAUAUCAGAACACCCAUGGUAUGACUUGAGUGAGGUCUCAAAGGUCGAGGUAUCUACUCCUACUGUAAAGUUGAAACUUAUGGCUCAUUUGUCAUUGACGUAAUGUUGUACUAACAUAGGAGGCAAGGUUGCAUUUGGGCUAACAUCU